AAAUUGAAGAGUUUGAUCAUGGCUCAGAUUGAACGCUGGCGGCAGGCCUAACACAUGCAAGUCGAGCGGAAACGAGUUAUCA
rnacentral:rRNA from 1 species